rnacentral:lncRNA from 1 species
GGCGCGUGCGGAUCUCCACUCGGAGAGCGCGUUGUGCGAGGAGGGGGGGAAUGGAGCGGAGGAGGAGUAGUGAGCGGUGGUCAGGAGUCGUGGUGUUGAGGCUACUAGUGUGAAUAGGAGGAGGCUCAGGCUUUGAAUCAGACAGGCCGGCAUUUUCGGGAAGAGAGAAGCGUGAGAAAGAGGAGAGAGAGAGAGAGAGAGAGAGAGGAGAAGG